GUCUCACUCGUCGAUUCCUGUGGAACCAACGGAACCCGUCAACGCAACGCAACGUUCCGAUUCCAACCGUUUGUAAAUUACAGUCGCUCAUCGGACGUUCUGUGUCUCGAACACCAACGACGGAGUUCCUCGAUGACGGUGCACGUGACCGCGCUUAUUCGCGGGCUAUCGGUUCUGCUUUCGCUACUCAUCCCUUUCUUCGUCGCGGCGCAUUACCAAAGCGUACACGCGUAACCGGCGCCGCGCGGCGAGCAGGUUGCGGUCCGCGUCGUGCAAGAUCGGCGGGGAGACGCAAGUUGGACGCGCUCCAUCCCGCCGAAUCACCGUGAAAAAGCAUUUCGAAUUCGACGACACGGAAUCCGGUCUUACAUGCGUGGAAGUCAAUCACAUCCAGCGCUGGGGAAUACGUUGCCAGGCGUGAAAAAGGAGAAAGAAUUCCGCGUAACCAUGAAAUGGUUUUUUAAAUGUUCGCUACAGCUUGGACGUCCAUUUCACGCAGGAUAUCGUCAUUUCGUUUAAGUUUCCUUUCGACGGGAUAUAUCGGAAUAAUCAACCGAUUGCGAUAGUAGUAAGAAAUUAAUAAAGCAAUUGAGAGUAAAAUCGAUAUUGCGCAAGGGUGACUACGAUGGCCUACCCGAGAGAAAGCCGUAGACAGAGAUUUAAACAGCAUGCGACACCAGCUUGACGAGCAAUGAAAGUCGAGUGACUGCAACCUGCGUGAUCAUGACCCUGCACUAACCGCGUGUCAUAACGUUGGCGAAGAAACGAGACACGAAACUGAUGGUCCAUGAAGAAGUAUCUUCCUACUGUCAGUCGAGAAGCUACAAAACAUUCGCGAUUUAUUACAAUGCCCCGGCAUGGAGAGCGUACGCGGCACGCUCGUGACACGCAAACGAGGAAACACCGUAACAAACUUUACUUCCUGGAUGGGUCACGCGCAACUUAUCUUAGCUGGGAGAUACGUUCGAAUUUUUCAUUCGAUCUAUCAAACUUUCAAGUCAUACACGGCCACUAUGUAUGUUCCGCGGAUGUAUUCUUACAACUUAUCUGUUUUAAAUACCACAACGGAAUCACCUAUUCUGAUAGCUGGUAAUGGGUUUUAGUGGUUACCGAUUUCUCCUGUUAAAUAUUAUUCGCAGACUCAUAACAUUCGCAACGAGACUUUAAAAAUAUGAUUCAUUAUUCAGAACGAUUUCUCGUGGUGUUCAUCGAUUUAAUACUUUAACUGACGGUAUCUUGAACAUAUCUUAGACAAUAUUUACAUACCAACGUUUUUAAUGGUUAAGUGGAGUGUUCUGUAUUCAAUACAAUUAAUAUUUCAAUAGUAUAUUUUUCUGUAUUUUGAUACAGAUAUUCAGAUUAUGUGUGAUGAAUAAUUAAAAGUAGGUCACUGUAAACAACAAUAAAAUACAGUUAUUUUAAAAAAUCUUAAAAAUAAUGAAACUCAUUUCAUGGUUAAUAAUGAAAAUAACAUUAAUAUAGAUUUAAAUAUCAAAAGUAUAAAACUACC